rnacentral:misc_RNA from 1 species
UAGUACAUAGUUUCAUCAUCAUACAAUGCAUCUUAUAGUAAAAAGUCAUAGUACAAGUAAAGUUUAUUAUCGAAGAGAGAAGUAAAUUUAUGGAACUCCAUAUAAUAAUAGCUUGCUAGUAAAUUUCAUCACUUUCAACCAACGUUUCCAUCAAUUUUGUCAUCUAAAAAUUGAAGAAUAAAGUUAAAUUUCAAAUUAUAAAUUGGGAAAAUUAAAAAGAGAGAGAAUUAGUAGGUGUACCAUCUCCACAUCUUUUGUGGCACUUCUUAUCACAUUUGAUAUAUUGCUUGGCUGAAAAAUUAACAAAUUAUUUAUGUUAUUAUAAACACGGAUCUACUUUUUGUUUUAAUUAAAGAAGCUUUUUGAUAGGUACCAUUGAACUUCCUUAGCUUCAUUGUAAAAUUAAAUCCUACAAGUAAUUAUUAGUCUAUUGAAAGUAAAAUUUCUGAUUCCGCUAUUAUUAAUAGACAUACAUGGGAGACCGG